UACAGAGGGGGCAAGCGUUAUUCGGAAUUAUUGGGCGUAAAGGGCGCGUAGGCGGCCUGGCAAGUGGAUGGUGAAAUCCCUCGGCUUAACCGAGGAACUGCCAUCCAGACUGCUUGGCUUGAGACCGGGAGAGGUGAGUAGAAUUCCCAGUGUAGCGGUGAAAUGCGUAGAUAUUGGGAGGAACACCAGUGGCGAAGGCGGCUCACUGGACCGGUACUGACGCUGAGGCGCGAAAGCGUGGGGAGCAAACGGG
rnacentral:rRNA from 1 species